rnacentral:rRNA from 1 species
GACGAACGCUGGCGGCGUGCUUAACACAUGCAAGUCGAACGGAAAGGCCCUGCUUUUGUGGGGUGCUCGAGUGGCGAACGGGUGAGUAACACGUGAGUAACCUGCCCUUGACUUUGGGAUAACUUCAGGAAACUGGGGCUAAUACCGGAUAGGAUCUCCUGCUGCAUGGUGUGGGUUGGAAAGUUUCGGCGGUUGGGGAUGGACUCGCGGCUUAUCAGCUUGUUGGUGGGGUAGUGGCUUACCAAGGCUUUGACGGGUAGCCGGCCUGGGAGGGUGACCGGCGACAUUGGGACUGCGAUACGGACCAGACUCCUACGGGAGGCAGCAGUGGGGAAUAUUGCACAGUGGGCGGAAGCGUGAGGUAGCAACGUCGGGUGCGGGAUGACGGCCUUCGGGUUGUAAACCGAUUUCGCCUGUGACGAAGCGUGAGUGACGGUAAUGGGUAAAGAAGCACCGGCUAACUACGUG